GAUGAACGCUGGCGGCGCGCCUAAUACAUGCAAGUCGAGCGAACAGACGAGGAGCUUGCUCCUCUGACGUUAGCGGCGGACGGGUGAGUAACACGUGGAUAACCUACCUAUAAGACUGGGAUAACUUCGGGAAACCGGAGCUAAUACCGGAUAAUAUAUUGAACCGCAUGGUUCAAUAGUGAAAGACGGUUUUGCUGUCACUUAUAGAUGGAUCCGCGCCGCAUUAGCUAGUUGGUAAGGUAACGGCUUACCAAGGCGACGAUGCGUAGCCGACCUGCGAGGGUGAUCGGCCACACUAGAACGGGGACACGGUCCAGACUCCUACGGGAGGCAGCAGUAGGGAAUCUUCCGCAAUGGGCGAAAGCGUGACCAAGCGACUCCACGUGAGUGAUGAAGGUCUUCCGGUCGUAAAACUCUGUUAUUAGGGAAGAACAGAUGUGGAAGUAGCUAUAGACGUCUUGACGGUACCUAAUCAAGAAGCCACGGCUAACUACGUG
rnacentral:rRNA from 1 species